rnacentral:rRNA from 1 species
AAUACCCUAUUAUUUUAAAAGUAAUUAAAUAAAUCUAAUUAGUAAUAGUUAAGUUCUUGAAAAUUAAAGAAUUUGGCGGUAUUUUAGUCUAUUCAGAGGAAUCUGUCCUAUAAUUGAUAAUCCACGAUUUUUUAUACCUAAUUUAUUAAUUUACAUAUCGCCGUAGUUUGAAUAUUUUUUGAAAAUUAUAAUAUUCAUAAUUUAUUUUGAUAAAAAAAAUCAGGUCAAGGUGUAGUUUAUGGUUAGGAAGAGAUGGGUUACAAUAAAAGUACUUAUUAUGGAUUAAAAAAUUAAAUUUUUUUAUGAAGGUGGAUUUGAAAGUAAUUUUAUUUA